CGGGAGGCACCGUGUGGUGGCUGUGCCAGGGCCCGGCGCGGCUCUGCAGGCCCCCAGAGCUCCUCGCAAUGCAGCUCCGUCCUGCAGAGCGGAGCCCGCGGUAUCCUCCUUGUCCUCGGCUGUCUCCCCUCGGUGGUGCGUGCCGUGAGUCACGAGGAGCCUGGUGCCGCUCCAAACGCGUGUCAGCCCCGGCCUAGUGAGAGGUUCAUAGCAGGCACAGGCAAAUGGGUGGAGUUGGUAGCUGUCUGAAGUAGCCAAGAUCUUCAGUUGAUAUCGUUAAUUAUCAUGUGAUGGUGCCAAAGUUUGCGAGGCUCCGUGCAGCACAGAACAAAAUGACAUAUUCCCUGCCCCAAGGAGUUUACAAUCUAAAGUGGAUCUGACAACACGAGGGUGUGACAGGACACCACGAGGCUGCAGCAACAGGAUCAUGCUGUUGAGGUCUCAACUUACUCCAGCACUACAGAUGAGAGAAAGCGACAGCUCCAGAGGCCUCUUGGGAUGGCAGGAUGGAUCUGACAAAGCAAGGUGUGACAGAAUGCCACAAGGUUGCAGCAACAGAAUCCUAGGAUCCAGUGACCAGAUAAAGCAGGUAUAGCAUUCAGCCAAGGUGUGGUAUCACUGGAAGAGUGCUGGUGACAUCAUGGGGAACAGAGAUGUGAUAAUGAUGGAUGCUACACUGUGUUGACAAUCUCAUGGGAUCUGACACACAGUUUGAUGUCAUUUUUGUUCAUGUAUCUGCUAUCGAGGUAAGCUCUCUUCUGCUUGGAUGCAAAAUGGUGCACCAAUCUUCACUAAAAAGUGAACACUUACCAGCAGUUACUGCAGGAGAUAUUUGAGGCAUGUCUGCCCAGCACAAUGGAAGCUGUGCAACCAGUCACUCAGUGAGCCCAG
rnacentral:lncRNA from 1 species